CUUAAAGAUUCCAGUCAGAGAACAAUAGGUCCCACUCUCUCACUAUUAAUCUUCCUUAGCUGCCUCCGUGUCUGCCCAAAGCAGUGGGUGAGCCCCUCCCUACAACAACCUUUGGUCUAAGUUCUCAUUUACCCAUAAGAUUUAAUCAGCAGAGUAUAAUAAUAAAAAGAUCAUUUGUCUGCUGGUUGAACACUAAACUGGAGAGGACUAGACUGGAGAUAUUUACCGGGUGCCUGUGUGUCAGGCAUUGUUCCAAGUGCUUCUGAUAUGUCUUUUCAGUGGCCGUCGAUACUAUUAUUAUCUCCACUGAUUUAGGACACGUUGCUUUUGGCCACACAGCCAAGUGUGGGAGCUGGUGGAAAGAAGUGAAGAAGACGCCACCUUACUUUUAGCUACUGAGAUAACUGUCUUUCAAGCACACGCAGGGGACAGGUUGUCCAAGCGAACUGGUUUGAAAGCACAGCAGACAUUUAGAAUUCCAAAGGUCUUUUCUGAAGUGACCAGAGGCAGCGUCAAGAAGGUUAUUAUCAUAACCUCUACUAGGAACAUUAGAACCCACUCAAUUAGGACACGAACCGAAUAACUGUCCAUUUUUCACUACCUUAGUGGCUUCAGUUGUAAAAGCAACCACAAACACACAAAAACAAAACAGAACAAAAAUAAGAGGCUUGAGUGAUCAUUAGAUUUCUUCCAGCUCUAAAACAUUCCUAUGCCAUUUCAUUUCUUCAGUUAGAAACUGCCUCCCCGCCUCAUGUUUUAAAAAAUAUAACUACUCCUAGCAGUAGAGGCAGGAAAAGGGAUAAGUAGUAAUGAAAGAAGAGAAAUCAAAAGGGAAAGAGAAAUACAUAGACACAUACACCACAACUACACUCCCUGUGUUGUACUUCUUACAUUAUCAACUCUCUUUGCAAUGGCCUGCUGAAAGUGUUUUUCCUUUUUUCUCUUUUUAACCUAUGCUUGCCUGCCUCAUAUAACCUUGCCAACUUUUUUUUUUUUUUACACCUAGUAAUGGAAAAACAAGAGCCAUUAGCAAAUUUCACCUACUUCUUGGUUUUGCUCCUAGCUUAGGACUAUGGUGGACUGCUGGGCUUCCUUGUGGCCUUCGGAGUAGACAGCUAGGUUUGCUCAGGGCUCUUCCCUCCACCUGGCUUGGAAUACCCCCACAAAACCGAUGAGGUAAACUCCCCGACACUUACAGGGCCUCACACAGCAGCACUGUUGCUCUGUGCAAAUGUCUGACCGUCCUCAGAGAGCUCAACUCUAUUUCCACAGAAGCGGUCCCCAGUCAACUGGCCUCUCCCAAAGAACUCUCUAAUGCUGCAGGACUGGAACCCAGGAGACGCGGUUCCUGACGCAGCCUGAGACUCAGGAAGCCUCACCAGGAAUUCCCAUAGUGCCUCCACACCAUUAAUGUGAGACAGGGCAGAAUUCUUCCUGAGGAGUCAUGGUUAUAAGCGCAGACAUGGCUCUCUGGGGGGCCCAGUGGAACCCAGCAUGAAAGGAAGGAAUUGGGGUUUUCUGAACACCUCUACGAUGAAUGCAGGCCCAACCAAGGGUUUGCAGGUAAAACUUUUCAACCCUGUCAGAGUUAGUUUUGUAUUCAUAACAGAAGCAAACACAACAAAAGCAAGCCCCAACUCAAAUGCAAUAAAGCAAAUCACUUCUCUCUCCCAAAUCUGUCCGACCCACCCUAUAACAAUUUCUAAUUUCUUAUGCAAACGAUGCCUCAUUUCUAAUUUCAACAGCCUUUUACUCCAUUCUGAGCGUAGGCUUCAGUGGCAGCAAAUGUAAGCACGGGAGAAUUUACCUCUGUAUCAAGAUCACUUGAAAACAGGGAUCUGCAGAUGAAAGCCCAGCGCCAAAUCAAACCCGCUGGCAAAUCAAACUGCACCGAGAACGAUUCUUUCCCGCCCGGCUUUUUCCUGGCCGCACUUUGCAAAGGACAGGAGGCCUCUCCCGCUCAGUUUAGCGGGACGCCUGCUCCUCGAGGAUCGCGCCGCAGGCGUCCCCAGACGGGCUGAUGACGGCAGCCAGCACCCCUGGCAAACGGCAGUUCCCAGAGGAGGGGCUCUGCCCGCCUGGAGCCUGCGUCCCGCUGGCCCUGUCUCCGCUAGGGUCCUCAAUUCCACGCUUGCGGCCUUGGGGCCGAGGCUCUGCCCCCAGACGUCACCCCGCCGUGCGCCCCCACAGCACAGAGCCCUGU